ACAUGAAAUCAUUUUGAAAAAGCACUGGUUCAAACUCCUGGUCAUCAGGGUCAGAGGCAUUCGUACCAAGAGUCCCCAAGACCUGGCCCCAGGACUGGCAUGGACUGUUAGGAACCGGGUGUGCAGCAGGAGGUAUCUGUCUAUGUACUGCUGGAGGAAAUAGCAUACG